rnacentral:lncRNA from 1 species
GAGAAAUCCUGGAAGGGUGGGAGUCUGGAUUUUGGUUAUUUGACCUUUUUUUUUUUUUUUUAGAAGGUUUUGCACUGUCCUCUCUCCUCACCUGAAUCUCCUGAUCUGUCUCUGGGAGGUUGACCACCCCUUGCAUGUUAUGCUGCUUCUUAAGGCCCCUUUGGACUUUUCAGACCAGGUUAAGCCUUUUUUGUGAAUCUCUUCAAUAUGUGGCAGUUCAUAUGAAGGGUCAAACCGGCUUGUCAUAG